rnacentral:rRNA from 1 species
AUGUGAUCGUCUCUCGCAUAUCAAUAAGCGGAGGAAAAGAAACUAACAAGGAUUCCCUUAGUAACGGCGAGUGAAGCGGGAAGAGCUCAAAUUUGAAAUCUUCAAGGUUUUACCUUGACGAAUUGUAGUUUAAAGAAGUGUUUUCUGUUGAAGUUUUGGUAAAAGUUCUUUGGAAUAGGACAUCAUAGAGGGUGAGAAUCCCGUAUUUGACCAUUAUUUUCAGCUGUGUGAUACACUUUCAAAGAGUCGGAUUGUUUGGGAAUGCAGUCCAAAAUGGGUGGUAAAUUUCAUUUAAAGCUAAAUAUUGGCGAGAGACCGAUAGCGAACAAGUACCGUGAGGGAAAGAUGAAAAGAACUUUGAAAAGAGAGUUAAACAGUACGUGAAAUUGUCAAAAGGGAAGCGUUUGACACCAGUGUUGUUUUCUCGAAAAUCAAUUAAAAAGAGUUAGAUUUUGUUGUGUAUUGACCUUAACAGCUUGCAUUUCAAUUUUCUUGCUUUUUUUAAUGCACUUUUCGUUUAACAAGUCAACAUCAGUUUCUUUUGUUGUAAAAAGGUCAUUGGAAGGUGGCUUUCUUUUCGGAGAAAGUGUUUAUAGCCUUUGACUCCUGCAAUCGGAGAGACUGAGGUCUGCAGCAUAGAUCCUUCGGGGUUAGAUACAUUUGUGCUAAGUUAGUAGCUUUUUAUAGACAACUUGUUGACUAUGAUUAGUCUUGUAGCUUACUCGCUUAUGCUAUUUUACCUACGCUUAGGAUGUUGAAGAUGUAGCACAUCAU